rnacentral:rRNA from 1 species
UGGGGAAUAUUGGACAAUGGGCGAAAGCCUGAUCCAGCCAUGCCGCGUGUGUGAAGAGGGUCUUCGGAUUGUAAAGCACUUUAAGUUGGGAGGAAGGGCAUUAACCUAAUACGUUAGUGUUUUGACGUUACCGACAGAAUAAGCACCGGCUAACUCUGUGCCAGCAGCCGCGGUAAUACAGAGGGUGCAAGCGUUAAUCGGAAUUACUGGGCGUAAAGCGCGCGUAGGUGGUUUGUUAAGUUGGAUGUGAAAGCCCCGGGCUCAACCUGGGAACUGCAUCCAAAACUGGCAAGCUAGAGUACGGUAGAGGGUGGUGGAAUUUCCUGUGUAGCGGUGAAAUGCGUAGAUAUAGGAAGGAACACCAGUGGCGAAGGCGACCACCUGGACUGAUACUGACACUGAGGUGCGAAAGCGUGGGGAGCAAACA